AAAUUGAAGAGUUUGAUCAUGGCUCAGAUUGAACGCUGGCGGCAGGCCUAACACAUGCAAGUCGAGCGGAAACGAGUUAUCAGAACCUUCGGGGGACGAUAACGGCGUCGAGCGGCGGACGGGUGAGUAAUGCCUAGGAAAUUGCCCUGAUGUGGGGGAUAACCAUUGGAAACGAUGGCUAAUACCGCAUGAUGCCUACGGGCCAAAGAGGGGGACCUUCGGGCCUCUCGCGUCAGGAUAUGCCUAGGUGGGAUUAGCUAGUUGGUGAGGUAAGGGCUCACCAAGGCGACGAUCCCUAGCUGGUCUGAGAGGAUGAUCAGCCACACUGGAACUGAGACACGGUCCAGACUCC
rnacentral:rRNA from 1 species